AAAGAUAUAGUUCAGAGGUAGAACAAAAUUUUCCUAAAAUUUAGACGAAGGUUCGAUUCCUUCUAUCUUCA
rnacentral:tRNA from 1 species